rnacentral:lncRNA from 1 species
GGGAAGGAAGCUUAAUUUUCCCUCUUUCCCAGUUCCCCUCUGUGGUCGUGACGGGGCACGUGCUCAGAGAGCUCAAGCAAGUGUCUGCUGGCAGUGAGUGCCUGAGCAGACCUUGGAGAGCCAGAGCCAAGUCUGACCUACAGCUGGGUGGGACAGAAAAUUUCGCUACCCUGCCUUCUACCCGCCCGAGGGCGCAGGCUCUUUCCGGGGUGCUGUGGCGGCUGCAGCAAGUGGAGGAAAAGAUUCUCCAGAAGAGGGCUCAGAACUUGGCCAACAGGGAAUUUCACACAAAGAACAUUAAGGAGAAGGCGGCUCACCUUGCCUCCAUGUUUGGACACGGGGAUUUCCCGCAGAGCAUGAAGAGCUCUUUAUUUUUCAAGCCACCAAAUAAUACAAGCUGGCAUCUAGAAAAGACCCAAAUGCGAAGAUUCAAAAUAAAUAAAUACAUCAUGAGAAAGG